CCCAAUAGAAUAUUAGUUCUAAUAUUCCUUCACCAUUUACGCCCCCUGCGCACUGUAAAAUAACCCUCAGCCCCUCCUUCAUUGUCUAUCUCUCAUUCUCUCUCAUCUCUCUUCUUUCUCUCACUAAAAUCUGCUGAUCCAAAUUUAGAAAGCCUCUUCUUUCCUGGAAGUUAGUGAAUUUUCGGCAUUAUCGUUUUCUUGUCUGUUAUGUUGGUUUGAUGAAGCCCCCUUGGAUCCUUUUCGGAUGAUUCUGGUAUGUUUCACCGGUUGCAAUCCUAAAGCAUUUCAUAUGAUCUCGGUUUUUGAAUGUGGUGUAUUGCGUGGAUUUUGUUGAGAUUGCGACGUUUGAGUUUUACUAAAUAUUGAUUGAUUUACAGCUGAUGAUAUGUAUCAUUUGUUUGCAAAAAAUGGAAGGAAAUUUUUGAAAAAUGGAAAACGAAUCAGCUGAUGGCGAGUUAAGUUUGUGGUCGUGAUGUUGGAUCCUCGUUUGACAUCUGCGUCCCUGUUCUAGUGCUUUUUCUUCCAUCCUGGUUUUUAGAUUUUUUUUCAUUGCAAGUGUAGAUUUUCAGCUAAGAAUUACAAACUUCUGCUUGCAAUUUGGAUUAGUUAUUGAUUUCUAAAGAGGAAGGAUUUUUAACUAAAUCUAUCAUUUCUAUUAGUGGCAUUGAUGACUAAUUAUUGUUUUGUUAUUAAUGAUUUCCUUUUUACUAACUUGAUGUGACAAGG
rnacentral:lncRNA from 1 species